rnacentral:lncRNA from 1 species
AAUUUUCAGUUUCUAUAUUACUGUUUUUAACAAUAAUACACCAAUUUUUUCAACCAAGAGGAAGACCCUCAACUAGUAUGUCUUGUGUACAAAAUUACAGUAAAAGGUCAUUCUCACCUCAGAUAGUUUAGUAUCCAAAUAAGCAACAUAAGAGAGAGAAGGAAGCUAGUUCUGUUGUCUCCAGCACACAUGGGAGAGGCCAAAAUACAUAGAUAUAGUCUAUGCAUGUGUGGAAUGAUGGCGGAGUGAACAACUCAGCCUAAUCAGAGUUACAGGUCAAGGAUUAAUGAAAAUGAACCCAAAUUGUUUAUUGUUUAUCAGACAUUCAGGGUGCAAUUUUCUAAACAUCUCCAAAGCAAAGAUUAACCCCAACAAACUUUAGAUAACUAAUGUGUCAAUCUUUUCCCUAAGCAAAAGUAUCUAAUGCCAUGUGAGAUGUUUGGUUACCAAGGACAUCUGCAAGAUGGUGGCCAAUUCAAUGCAACACCUGCAGAAAAUCUACAGACAUUGGGAUCUCAGCAGUAGGGCAGAUGCGGUGGUCUGCAGACUCUCCGAGUGCUUAGAUGCCUACGAUGAUAAGCAUCUAAAACAAACCUUAAGUGAAAAACAUUUAUUGGUCAUCUGCAUUUUCUAUGCUGUCUCUAUAUUUAGUAGAAUGAGAUACUGAUCUUCAGUAGGACAAACUGCUCUCUGGAGGUGCCACUCUUUCUCCACUGACUUUAGAGAGAACCUUGGCUAAUUGUGUUCCUGAAGAAGGUUCUGAAUUUAGGCAUUGAGUUGGUUUUUUACAUACUGUUUUUGCUGUCUUCUAGUAGAUGUACCCUAUACAGCCUUAGACAAAAGGCUCAGUGUUUUUCAUUGCUAUUCUGUUUUCAUAAUUCAUAAUCUUGUAUUUAUUCCUUAAUUUAUUUAUUUAAAUAUUUAUUUAAAUGUAAAAAAAAUAUAGCUAAGUGCACAUGGAAAACAAAACUGAAUAAAUAAAUGAAUGAACAAAAAACACCACAAAACAACAACAACAACAACAACAACAAAACAACAAAAAAAACCUACAGCAUCACUUAUGUCUUCAUCAGAGGGCAAACCACACUUAGGAAAAAUGUUAUUCUCAGCAACUAAGUGCCAGAUUUAGCUUUGAGUACUCAGGCUUCAAAACAGCAAGCCACUUCCAGAACUAUUCCAUCAUUUGUGAAGCAUGUCUGAAAGCAUCUACAGGUAAGAUAACUAUAAUAAAAUUAUUUACGUAUUUGUUGAGACGUAUUUGUUUUAGAGGACACACGCAAAAUAAUUAUUAAAAUAAUAAAAAUCCAGCACUUCUAAGCUUGCUUCUACUCCUGUAGAAACAUGUUAUUCAAGGACAUUUAUACAUCCAAGCUGCGAGGAAGACAGUUCCAGACUUGUCUAACCUGUGCCCCCAUCUCUAACUGAAGAAUUAAAUAUUACACACUCUGACAGGUCCACACAAGCAUCUAUUCUAGGUUGUUUUGUUUUUUUCACCUUAACACAAAUCUCUUCAAGAUUUCUUGAAGUCUUUAUCUUCCAUGCUCACAUACUGGCUAUAUUCCACCAGUACAGAAGAAAGACUAAUUUGUAACAUUUUUCUUGGAUUGACUUUUUUGUGGAUUAGUUGUGGCAUGUACUCAUUACAGAAAUGUGCCAUUAUACACGUUGCAUACUUUGACUUCCAUUGUGUUUUAGGUUGCUGUCUGUUAGCAUACAUGAAACCAUGCUAAGUAACUGUUUGCUUAUUAUGAAGACACAGGGGAAAUUUAUAGAGUAGAAAAUUCUUGUCUUACUCAUCCUUCUUCCCUUUCCAGAACUCUUGGGUUUUUAAAUUCAAGACAAGAAUAUCAAGCAUGUAUUUCUACAUCUUGGAAUAUAACGUAGGACUUCUAGCAUAUGCAACAACACAGCCAUAGAAGAAUAUUAUCUAAAAAAAUGAGAGUUUCAUGACUCAGAGAGACACUAGAGCACAGCUCAAAUUUUGGACUGUAUGUUUUAAAGACAAUGUGAGAUUAAAUAGCCAAGAUAAUGGAAGAGUGAACAGAUUUACACAUCCUUACUUCUCUAACUGUUUCUGAUCUUCGGGGUAAUGUUUGUCACACCACCAUUCAGAGUAUUUGGAAAGUAGCCUGACUCACGUUUUGGCAUGACUAUAAGGAGACCUGUGUCCUAUGGCUGUCCCCCAUUUUGUUUCUUCAAAACACUUUUGUGUCUUCACUUCAUCUUGGCAGCGAGGUCUUGAUCCAUACUGACAACGAGAACAUUGGAAUUCAUUCUCCUUAAAAAAUAAACAAACAAACAACAACAACAAGGGAGUGGGAAGGAUUUUCAUUCAUGACUGACUGGGAGACUGGGAAAGUGGUGACAGAAGCUGUGAGCCUGCUACAGCAAUCUGGGACGCUCAGUAUACUUGCUUCCAUUUUUUUCCUUGUUGCAAUUGUUCAGAGAACACACCACAGACUGACAUCUGAGGAUGAGUUUUUCUCAUAGAAUACACCAGGGCUGGCUAGCUGAGAAGAGAAAGCUUUAAAGGGAAGGCAGGUUGACUUCAAUGGAAAUGCUCCAUGAGCGAGUUCAGCAUAUUCCUCCUAAUCCUGAAACACAUCCUAUAACUGAUUAAAGGUGACCAGUUACAAGGAGAAGAAAGAGAGAGAGAUGCAUUAUAAAAAGUGAGCUAAUAACAUUAAAAUGUGGGAAAUCAUUUUCAAAAAGUCUGAAUCUAGACUUGUGCUUUAUAAAUCACAACCCAGAAGAGGCUGGGGAUUCAGCCAGAUCUCAUUAAUUGCACAGGAAUAGAACCAUAAAGACUGAAAUUUAUGUAAAACCAGUUCAGCGGCCUACUCUUUUAUGGGAACUAUUUGGAAUCAAUCUGUAUCUGCAACUCUUCUGUGGGAAAUGAGUAGAAGAGCUACAGCAGGUGCUUUAAAGUAAUAAGGGAUUUCCUAUGAAACUCAGUGGACUGAUGACUCACCAGUUUAAUUAUGGCCUACUCUUCUGUUAUAAAAGCAGAACAAUUAUUUUUAAAAGGCUCUUGUUGAGUAAAUGAGUUUGAACAGAAAAUCUUUCAUAGGGAAAAAAAAAAGAUACCCAUAUUUUAUUUUAAGGAGUUUAAGAUUUAUAGAGAAUGUCUUCAGACUACCGUACUGAUUAGUGUUGUCUGAGUGCUCCAGAGUAACUAGAGAGAUUUAAAGUAGCUGUUUUUAUGCAGUCUGGCUUUUCCUCAUUUUGAAUUUCUGAUAUAUUUUCUCUCUGUUCAGCUGUUUGCUUUAUUCCUAACUUUCAUAUAUCCCAGAGAGACAAUGCCGUAGUUCAGUUGGACAUUGCUGUUGCUGUCACUAAAAUUACUAUUUCCUUCUCUUAUGACACAGUUCACUUUCAGCAGGUUGCAUGUCUGGAAAGUAGGGCAGGCUUUACAAAAUGGUGAACUACCUCCUGCUGCCAUCAAUGAGAAUUUUAUUGUUAACUUGGAUGAGCAAAAUCUUUCACCCAAUAAAAUGCAAAGUAAGAUCUUACAUAACUCCAUCUCUGCUAUAAACAGUACACACCUCAGAUCUGAUGCGAGGAUGAUCGAUCUCCUUGGUUUUGAAUUCCAAUACAUUGGGCUGCAAUAAAUAGCAACUAUUCCUCAGGAUCCACCUUGAGCAAUGGAGCUCUGCAUCAGUCCUGCAAACGUAUCUGCCUCCUAUGACCCUGCUGUGAUUAGCUCUGCAGAGAAUAGAAAAGACGUCUGUUAAAAUGUUUCUCUUUUCCUUUUUCCAG